GAGCCUAUAGCUCAGUAGGAUAGAGCGACUCCUUCCUAAUCGGUAGGCCACAGGUUCGAUUCCUGCAAGGCGCACCA
rnacentral:tRNA from 1 species